AGCCCGGUGGUGUAGUGGUCAAGGAAGAUCAUCUUCGGCUAAGCAUAUGGGGCCUUGGACCCCACGACAGGAGUUCGAAUCUCCUCCGGGCUACCA
rnacentral:tRNA from 1 species